rnacentral:rRNA from 1 species
GACGAACGCUGGCGGCGUGCUUAACACAUGCAAGUCGAACGGAAAGGCCCUGCUUUUGUGGGGUGCUCGAGUGGCGAACGGGUGAGUAACACGUGAGUAACCUGCCCUUGACUUUGGGAUAACUUCAGGAAACUGGGGCUAAUACCGGAUAGGAGCUCCUGCUGCAUGGUGGGGGUUGGAAAGUUUCGGCGGUUGGGGAUGGACUCGCGGCUUAUCAGCUUGCUGGUGGGGUAGUGGCUUACCAAGGCUUUGACGGGUAGCCGGCCUGAGAGGGUGACCGGCCACUUUGGGACUGAGAUACGGCCCAGACUCCUACGGGAGGCAGCAGUGGGGAAUAUUGCACAAUGGGCGGAAGCCUGAUGCAGCAACGCCGCGUGCGGGAUGACGGCCUUCGGGUUGUAAACCGCUUUCGCCUGUGACGAAGCGUGAGUGACGGUAAUGGGUAAAGAAGCACCGGCUAACUACGUG